AAAUACUAAUCAGUACAAUAACAAGAUUGAAUUAUACACUCAUUAGGGAGAUGAAGUCAAAAGUUUUAAAAGCCUUGUCAUGACUUUUUCUUUUUGUUGGAUUCUCCCCCUUUGCAUUUAAUUUGUCACGCCCAAUGAAUUCAUUCUGUUGGGUUUCCUGGGGUUGUGAUCCUCAUUGUCUUUUCCUAGGGUAUUGUCUAAAAUUUUUUGGAGCGCCAGUUUGGUAUUCAUGAAGUUCCUGAGGUUCUCUUUGUCAUGAAAAUAUCUUAUUUCUCCAUCAAUUUUGAAAGAUAGUUUUGCAGGGUACAUCAAUCUGGGUUGGAGGCUGUUUUCCUUUAGGGCUUGAAAUACAUCACUCCAAGCUCUUCUUGCCUUGAGGGUUUGCAUUGAGAAGUCUGCUGUGAUUCUGAUGGGCUUUCCUUUGUAUGUGAUUUGUUUCUUUUUUCUCACUGCUUGUAGAAUUUUGUUCUUCUGUUGGAUUUCUGGAAUCCUAACUAUUAUAUGCCUAUGUGUAGAUUUUUUUUUGAUUAAGGCCAGCUGGAGUCCUAUAUGCCUCACUUUUCUGUAUGUCAAGUUCUUUAUCCCCUCCUUGGGAAGUUUUCUGCCAUCACUUCUGUGAACAGUUUUUUUAUGUCAUCUGCACUCACUCCUCUUUCUUCAUUGACUCCGGUCAGUCUUAUGUUACUCUUCUUUGCAUCGUCUAGCAGCUGCUGGAUUGCUUUCUGUUGUUCCUUUACAAUUUUAAAGCAAUUUUUCUUUUCCUGGUCACUAAUUGCAAUCUCAUCUUCUAUAUCUCAAAUUCUAUCCUCACAUUGGUUCAUUCUGCUGUGCAGACUUUGGAUGGAGUUUUUAACCUCCUGGAAAUCUGUUUGCAUCUGUUUUAUGGAUUCCAUUUAUUUCCUAUGUUGGGAUUCCAUCAUGUUCCUCAGCUUCUUUAUUUUAUAAUCUGUGUCCUCUCUAGAUGUAUUAAUCAUGUCUUGCACUAAGGGCACAAUCUUUGCUGUUAUCUGAG
rnacentral:lncRNA from 1 species